rnacentral:rRNA from 1 species
GGAAUAUUGCACAAUGGGGGAAACCCUGAUGCAGCGACGCCGCGUGAAGGAUGAAGUAUUUCGGUAUGUAAACUUCUAUCAGCAAGGAAGAAAAUGACGGUACUUGACUAAGAAGCCCCGGCUAAAUACGUGCCAGCAGCCGCGGUAAUACGUAUGGGGCAAGCGUUAUCCGGAUUUACUGGGUGUAAAGGGAGCGUAGGCGGCAUGGCAAGUCAGAAGUGAAAGCCUGGGGCUCAACCCUGGAAUUGCUUUUGAAACUGUCAAGCUAGAGUGUCGGAGGGGUAAGUGGAAUUCCUAGUGUAGCGGUGAAAUGCGUAGAUAUUAGGAGGAACACCAGUGGCGAAGGCGGCUUACUGGACGACUACUGACGCUGAGGCUCGAAAGCGUGGGGAGCAAACA